GACGAACGUUAGCGGCGGGCCUAACACAUGCAAGUCGAACGAGAAUGAGGGGCAACUCCUCUAGUAAAGUGGCGGACGGGUGCGUAACACGUGGGUAAUCUACCUUCCAGCGGGGACAACCGUCCGAAAGGAUGGCUAAUACCGCGUACGUCGGCGAGGGCCCUGGUCCUUGUCGGGAAAGACGGCCUCUUCAUGAAAGCUGUCCCUGGAAGAUGAGCUCGCGGCCCAUCAGCUAGUUGGGAGGUAAUGGCUCACCAAGGCUAAGACGGGUAGCUGGUCUGAGAGGAUGAUCAGCCACACUGGAACUGCGACACGGUCCAGACUCCUACGGGAGGCAGCAGUGGGGAAUCUUGCACAAUGGGGAAACCCUGAUGCAGCGACGCCGCGUGAGCGAUGAAGCCC
rnacentral:rRNA from 1 species